CGAGAGCGGCGGAGUCCUCGAGAGGGCU
rnacentral:sRNA from 1 species